rnacentral:pre_miRNA from 1 species
AGGGGAGAGCAGGAUCCUGGGCUGUGUCCCCCGGCGCCCUGGGCUCACUGCUGGAAUCGCGCUCCCGGGGCCGCGCAGCCCCCU